AGGACGUUUCGGAUGUCGUACAUAAUGCUAACUACAGCGUCCUAUCCUUGCAAAAUGAGAAAUAUGACCUGAUCCGAUGAAUAGUCAGCUGAGAUUUGGAAGAUUAUUGUGCCAGAGAUUAUUGUCGGCAUCACAAUUUCAACGAGGUUUACCGUGAGCUACUCUGAACAUUAUGAAUAACAAGUGAACCUUAUCAUAUCGGAUCCAUGCGCUGCGAAAGGAUGCAAACCCCCAGCAGCGACCGUGCGCUGCGAGCGCCAUUGCUCUGUCCUUUUGUAGCAGAUUCACAACACCUGUUCGCAGACGAUGAUGAAAUUAGCUGGUGGGGUUCUCUUAAACGGAUGGGGAAGGUAAAUCAAUGUCGGGUCGAGAGUGUGGCGGACUGUCGGAAUGCUUUUCCAGCGGACUGGAGCUUUGAAAUAUGCUUUGGAUAUUGAUUUGGAUUCGGCUUUUUAUCGAAACUAGAUUCUCAAGCGGCUUUCCAAACGUACUCACAUCACAGAGUACGCACAGACACCCGUGUUGACCAUCACACCUCCACUUUACUAGCGUGUAGCCGUACCUUCAUCUAUUGGUGCCGUCUGUGUGUAUACGCCUUAUAACUUAACGGUUUUUCAACCAGUACCUAGACACCCUGACAUUACUGCUCCACCUCGCCGAGUGUUUAGACGACCUGACAUUACUGCUCCAUCUUUCAGUGUGACAUUUUCACCGCCGCUGUUCCACACCUGCUGUCCCCCCAAACGCCAAACACAGGACUUCUCCCAGCAGCUGUCUCUGGCUGGUCCGCUGGCCGUCAACCUGGUUAGCUCCAACGCCCUUGCCCUGACCAACCUUUACUUCGUGUCCCAG
rnacentral:lncRNA from 1 species